rnacentral:lncRNA from 1 species
ACACAGCCUCCAGCCGGCGGACAGUCCCUCUGGCGACCUGGCCUUGGCUCCCACUGGGGCAGAGCCGGGAUUCUGCAGGAUCUGAGGAUCUAAGGGGACCCCUAGUCCUGAACUCGGAACCAACUGCGUCUCUCACGGUCCCGAGCCCAGGACCAGGAAGGACCCUGUGAGUCUCCGCACAUAGGAUAGGAAGGGGCCUCGCAUGGUGCCUCUCCCUUUAGGGCAAAUGGUUGUUCCAGAAAAAAUGCAGCAACACCUGAACUCUUCUAAAGAAAAAGAAGACAAAAUGAUCUAGUGCAUCUCUGCCAUCCUGUUGAAGAUCCUAUUUGAAAAAAGGGAGACACAGAGAAAGGUUUUUUUUUUUUUUUAAAAGUGAUAGAAUAAUCCAAAGUUAAAAAUUCAACACAAUGGAAAAUAUUAAUUCAAUCCAUGCUGCAAACAAGCUUCUUGGGUUGCUUUAUGAAUUGUAUGAGCUGAAGGACAGUACCUUCCAUAUGGUCAUAUCCUCACAACGCCUCUGGACAUAUUUUCCUAUCUGACCGUCUUUCCCACCUGGCCUCAAACUCCUGGGCUCAAGUGAUUCUCCCACCUCGGCCUCCCCAGUAGCUAGGACCACAGAUGCAUGCCACCAUGUCUGGCUAAUUUUUAAAAAUAUUUUGUGCAGACAGGGUCUCACUAUGUUGCCUUGGCUGGUCUCAACAAACUGGGGCUCAUCAGUAAAUUGGGGCACUCUUUUCAGGGCUGAUAACCUAUUCCCCUGGAUUCCCAAAACACUUUCUUAGUUCUUUCAAAGAGGUGAGCAAGUUUGCCUUGAGGCUAGAAGAAUGGAGAGAAGACUGGGCAUGGUGGCUCCUGCCUGUAGUCCCAGCACUUUGGGAGGCCAAGGCAGGUGAAUGGCUUGAGUUCAGGAAUUUGAGAC